GCUUGGGAAUAUAAGCCCAAAGCUAUGAAGUAGAUUCAGUAGAGGGAGGUUUAACACGAAAUCAAAGGUGCAACAUAGGAUAUAAGUGUUAAAUGUGAAAUUCCUGUUUGGGCUCUAGGUCCUAAGCCCAACAUGCUUCAGCAAGAUUCAGGGGGAUGUUCAAACAGGAAUUAAGGGGGUUCAACAUAUAAGAAGGGUGUGAAAAGAGCUUCCAUGGGCUUGUGGCCCAAACCACAUUACAAGACCAAAAGAGAGGGUAAUGGUUCAGUAGUGUGGUCACUUUAACCUCACGUGUUCAGAUCAAUGUGUUUCACCUUAAAAUAACUUUGGCCAAAGUUCCUUAGCUCCGCCACGCCGGAAAUCAGCUCCGGUGGCGGCAGAGUGCCAAACACCACGAACCUUAUAUCAAACUCCUCAGUUCACUCCUCUCUUUCUCCCUAUCAUGUUCGUUUCCCCUAAAUCCAAAUCUAUCAAUGAAAUCGAGCCAAACACACCUAUGAACCCUAACUCUUAAUUUCUAAAAUUAAACGAGGCUAUGGAGGAGUCAAAGCCUCUCCUAUUAGGGCUUGAAUUCCUCAAAACAUUAACCACAUGCUGGUAACCAAAACAAGGCGAAAUGGAAGAGGAAUGGCUUACCUACGAAGCAGUGACUUGCUCUGGUGACUGUUGCGAUGGAGAUGACAAAGACGGUGAUGAAAAAUACCAGAGACUUAGGGUGGAAGCAUGCUUGGGCUCAGAUAAGGUUGGCCAUGGAUUCAGCAUGACACUCGAAAGCAAAAUGGCACAUGGAAGGAUGAUCAUGACUUUGAAGAUGUAGAAGGCUUGAAGACUAGUGGGAACUAGUUCUAGGGUUAGAGAGUUGACUUUGGUCAACAGUUAACCAGAGUCAACUGUAGAUCGAAGAUUGCAUUUUUGUGUAAUUGGAUUUUGUAGUGAAUUGUAAUGUAAUAAGGAUAUUUAAACCUUGUAUGACUUUGUAGUAAUAAUAAAAAAGUUUUGUAACUUGAUCUUUAAA